rnacentral:rRNA from 1 species
AGCGUACACGGUGGAUGCCCUGGCAGUCAGAGGCGAUGAAGGACGUGCUAAUCUGCGAUAAGCGUCGGUAAGGUGAUAUGAACCGUUAUAACCGGCGAUUUCCGAAUGGGGAAACCCAGUGUGUUUCGACACACUAUCAUUAACUGAAUCCAUAGGUUAAUGAGGCGAACCGGGGGAACUGAAACAUCUAAGUACCCCGAGGAAAAGAAAUCAACCGAGAUUCCCCCAGUAGCGGCGAGCGAACGGGGAGCAGCCCAGAGCCUGAAUCAGUGUGUGUGUUAGUGGAAGCGUCUGGAAAGGCGUGCGAUACAGGGUGACAGCCCCGUACACAAAAAUGCACAUACUGUGAGCUCGAUGAGUAGGGCGGGACACGUGGUAUCCUGUCUGAAUAUGGGGGGACCAUCCUCCAAGGCUAAAUACUCCUGACUGACCGAUAGUGAACCAGUACCGUGAGGGAAAGGCGAAAAGAACCCCGGCGAGGGGAGUGAAAAAGAACCUGAAACCGUGUACGUACAAGCAGUGGGAGCACGCUUAGGCGUGUGACUGCGUACCUUUUGUAUAAUGGGUCAGCGACUUAUAUUCUGUAGCAAGGUUAACCGAAUAGGGGAGCCGAAGGGAAACCGAGUCUUAACUGGGCGUUAAGUUGCAGGGUAUAGACCCGAAACCCGGUGAUCUAGCCAUGGGCAGGUUGAAGGUUGGGUAACACUAACUGGAGGACCGAACCGACUAAUGUUGAAAAAUUAGCGGAUGACUUGUGGCUGGGGGUGAAAGGCCAAUCAAACCGGGAGAUAGCUGGUUCUCCCCGAAAGCUAUUUAGGUAGCGCCUCGUGAAUUCAUCUCCGGGGGUAGAGCACUGUUUCGGCAAGGGGGUCAUCCCGACUUACCAACCCGAUGCAAACUGCGAAUACCGGAGAAUGUUAUCACGGGAGACACACGGCGGGUGCUAACGUCCGUCGUGAAGAGGGAAACAACCCAGACCGCCAGCUAAGGUCCCAAAGUCAUGGUUAAGUGGGAAACGAUGUGGGAAGGCCCAGACAGCCAGGAUGUUGGCUUAGAAGCAGCCAUCAUUUAAAGAAAGCGUAAUAGCUCACUGGUCGAGUCGGCCUGCGCGGAAGAUGUAACGGGGCUAAACCAUGCACCGAAGCUGCGGCAGCGACGCUGAUGCGUUGUUGGGUAGGGGAGCGUUCUGUAAGCCUGCGAAGGUGUGCUGUGAGGCAUGCUGGAGGUAUCAGAAGUGCGAAUGCUGACAUAAGUAACGAUAAAGCGGGUGAAAAGCCCGCUCGCCGGAAGACCAAGGGUUCCUGUCCAACGUUAAUCGGGGCAGGGUGAGUCGACCCCUAAGGCGAGGCCGAAAGGCGUAGUCGAUGGGAAACAGGUUAAUAUUCCUGUACUUGGUGUUACUGCGAAGGGGGGACGGAGAAGGCUAUGUUGGCCGGGCGACGGUUGUCCCGGUUUAAGCGUGUAGGCUGGUUUUCCAGGCAAAUCCGGAAAAUCAAGGCUGAGGCGUGAUGACGAGGCACUACGGUGCUGAAGCAACAAAUGCCCUGCUUCCAGGAAAAGCCUCUAAGCAUCAGGUAACAUCAAAUCGUACCCCAAACCGACACAGGUGGUCAGGUAGAGAAUACCAAGGCGCUUGAGAGAACUCGGGUGAAGGAACUAGGCAAAAUGGUGCCGUAACUUCGGGAGAAGGCACGCUGAUAUGUAGGUGAAGUCCCUCGCGGAUGGAGCUGAAAUCAGUCGAAGAUACCAGCUGGCUGCAACUGUUUAUUAAAAACACAGCACUGUGCAAACACGAAAGUGGACGUAUACGGUGUGACGCCUGCCCGGUGCCGGAAGGUUAAUUGAUGGGGUUAGCGCAAGCGAAGCUCUUGAUCGAAGCCCCGGUAAACGGCGGCCGUAACUAUAACGGUCCUAAGGUAGCGAAAUUCCUUGUCGGGUAAGUUCCGACCUGCACGAAUGGCGUAAUGAUGGCCAGGCUGUCUCCACCCGAGACUCAGUGAAAUUGAACUCGCUGUGAAGAUGCAGUGUACCCGCGGCAAGACGGAAAGACCCCGUGAACCUUUACUAUAGCUUGACACUGAACAUUGAGCCUUGAUGUGUAGGAUAGGUGGGAGGCUUUGAAGUGUGGACGCCAGUCUGCAUGGAGCCGACCUUGAAAUACCACCCUUUAAUGUUUGAUGUUCUAACGUUGACCCGUAAUCCGGGUUGCGGACAGUGUCUGGUGGGUAGUUUGACUGGGGCGGUCUCCUCCUAAAGAGUAACGGAGGAGCACGAAGGUUGGCUAAUCCUGGUCGGACAUCAGGAGGUUAGUGCAAUGGCAUAAGCCAGCUUGACUGCGAGCGUGACGGCGCGAGCAGGUGCGAAAGCAGGUCAUAGUGAUCCGGUGGUUCUGAAUGGAAGGGCCAUCGCUCAACGGAUAAAAGGUACUCCGGGGAUAACAGGCUGAUACCGCCCAAGAGUUCAUAUCGACGGCGGUGUUUGGCACCUCGAUGUCGGCUCAUCACAUCCUGGGGCUGAAGUAGGUCCCAAGGGUAUGGCUGUUCGCCAUUUAAAGUGGUACGCGAGCUGGGUUUAGAACGUCGUGAGACAGUUCGGUCCCUAUCUGCCGUGGGCGCUGGAGAACUGAGGGGGGCUGCUCCUAGUACGAGAGGACCGGAGUGGACGCAUCACUGGUGUUCGGGUUGUCAUGCCAAUGGCACUGCCCGGUAGCUAAAUGCGGAAGAGAUAAGUGCUGAAAGCAUCUAAGCACGAAACUUGCCCCGAGAUGAGUUCUCCCUGACUCCUUGA